rnacentral:rRNA from 1 species
UACGUAGGGGUCGAGCGUUGUCCGGAGUUACUGGGCGUAAAGCGUGCGCAGGCGGCUCAUUGCGCUCGGCGUGAAAGCCCCCGGCUCAACCGGGGAGGGUCGUCGGGGACGGGUGAGCUUGAGGGUAUCAGGGGUUGGUGGAAUUCCCGGUGUAGUGGUGAAAUGCGUAGAGAUCGGGAGGAACACCCGUGGCGAAGGCGGCUCACUGGGCUGACCUUGACGCUGAGGCGCGAAGGCGUGGGGAGCGAACGGG